GAUAUGGUGGUGAUGAAAAACACUUUCAGCAAACAUGCCAGUUCUGCUUCUGAGAAUUCAUGACUGACAAACCUGUUAUAUUGAUCUUGACCCAUU
rfam:Triticum urartu cultivar G1812 contig815232, whole genome shotgun sequence.